rnacentral:rRNA from 1 species
AAUAGAUACCCGGGUAGUCCACGCUGUAAACGUUGGGAACUAGUUGUGGGGACCAUUCCACGGUUUCCGUGACGCAGCUAACGCAUUAAGUUCCCCGCCUGGGGAGUACGGCCGCAAGGCUAAAACUCAAAGGAAUUGACGGGGACCCGCACAAGCGGCGGAGCAUGCGGAUUAAUUCGAUGCAACGCGAAGAACCUUACCAAGGCUUGACAUAUACGAGAACGGGCCAGAAAUGGUCAACUCUUUGGACACUCGUAAACAGGUGGUGCAUGGUUGUCGUCAGCUCGUGUCGUGAGAUGUUGGGUUAAGUCCCGCAACGAGCGCAACCCUCGUUCUAUGUUGCCAGCACGUAAUGGUGGGAACUCAUGGGAUACUGCCGGGGUCAACUCGGAGGAAGGUGGGGAUGACGUCAAAUCAUCAUGCCCCUUAUGUCUUGGGCUUCACGCAUGCUACAAUGGCCGGUACAAAGGGCUGCAAUCCGUAAGGUGGAGCGAAUCCCAAAAAGCCGGUCCCAGUUCGGAUUGAGGUCUGCAACUCGACCUC